UCAGAGAAACCAAAUUCUGGACGGGGACUGAAAGGAGCAGACGCACUUGCAGUUUUCCCCAUGGCUUUACUUAUUUCACUGAAGGAGCACAAGACCAUGGAACUUCUAGCGGGUAUGGUUGCUGAAUUCCUCACAGAGAAGUUGCACCUGCCUAACGAAGAGUGAUUAGAAACUGAAGAAAUGUCACUAACGUUAUGAUACGAGUUUGGAAAAACACAUCGGAUUUGAAUUAGUAUAUUGGCUCCUAAAUUGCCAAUUCUGCAAACACUGGGAGAAAAUUGGAAAGCAAACUUUGGCUGUUACCGUCUACAUACCAACUCCGCCUUUCUGACAAUAAAUCACCUGACCCUGGAGAAAUAAAACGGUAACUGUGGUCUCCUGCCUGUUCGUGUGCUGACUUUCUUCUCCUGCUGGGGUGAGGGUCCCGCAGGCGGGCGCAGAGCAGGGGGAGGGCCGCGUCUGGAGGAGCGAGGAGGCAGGAGGGCCGAGGGCAGAAGAGGUUUCCAAGGGAAAACUCCGGACGGGAGCCCUGAGGAGAGGAAACCUGACUGGAGACCAUCCACUCCAGCAGUGACUCUUCCUCGGAAGCCAGCCCUGCAAGUUGUUUCUGGAUCGGAUCACUCACCCACAGGACUGGGAAGACGGGACCUGCACGUGCGGCUGAGUGUUCCAUGGGACAUAGCUGCUCGCGGGCCACCACGUGCUGCAGAGCGUCGACUCCAUCAGCUAGAAGUGUGCCUGCUGUGAGGUGCACGGUCAUAGGCUCUCAAGAAACUCUUGUGUAUUUCAGCAGUUCCUGUUAUUAAAUGGUCCUGACUGUGA